rnacentral:sRNA from 1 species
GCCAGGUGUGGUAGUGUACGCCUGUCAUCCCAGCAACUUGGGAGGCUGAGGCAGGAGGACUGCAGUUUGUGGCCAGCCUCAGCAAUUUAGCAAGGCCCAAAGCAACUCAGCAAGACUCUGUCUCAA